UUACAAGGACUCUACAGAAAGGAGACAGAUUUAGUAUGCGACAUUCAUAUUCUUACGUCCUUGAUUCUAGUGCCAGAUGGAGUGAAGGGUUUGGAACUUUGGAAUUUGGAGUCAAUUACGUACUUUUAGAACUUGUGACCUGUAACGAGGUACCAUUGUGCAGUGCUUAAUACAAGGCGUUUGCGACCAGUCUUUUGUUGCAAGAGGAGCGUAAUGGAUCGGGCCACAUGCUGUAUCCGGCUGUAUCCAAGGCUGGUAGGACUUCUAGAAGCUGAAAUCGACGGAGUGCAGAAUUUGUCAAGAGUUGAAGAUUCCCAGAGAACUUCUGUACCUAUGGCAACCUGUUAAUUACAUCAAGGCUGAUUAUUGGCGACACUAAAAUUUCAGCAAUUAUGAACACCCGCAGUUUUGUUUGAAGUAAACAAUUUCUUAAAGCCGGUUAGGUGCACUAUCUAGCAAAAUAUUACAAUAACAAAAGUA